CAGCAGCCGCGGUAAUACGUAGGGUGCGAGCGUUAAUCGGAAUUACUGGGCGUAAAGGGCGCGUAGGCGGGCUGAUAAGUCGGGGGUGAAAUCCCAAGGCUCAACCUUGGAACUGCCUUUGAUACUGUUGGUCUUGAGUCCGGGAGAGGUGAGUGGAACUGCGAGUGUAGAGGUGAAAUUCGUAGAUAUCGGAAGGAACACCUGUGGCGAAAGCGGCUCACUGGACCAUUUCUGACGCUGAUGCACGAAAGCUAGGGGAGCAAACAGGAUUAGAUACCCCCGUAGUCCCUGUCUCUUAUAU
rnacentral:rRNA from 1 species